rnacentral:rRNA from 1 species
AUUGAACGCUGGCGGCAGGCCUAACACAUGCAAGUCGAACGAGUGGCGGACGGGUGAGUAAUGUCUGGGAAACUGCCUGAUGGAGGGGGAUAACUACUGGAAACGGUAGCUAAUACCGCAUACCAUCAGAUGUGCCCAGAUGGGAUUAGCUAGUUGGUGGGGUAACGGCUCACCAAGGCGACGAUCCCUAGCUGGUCUGAGAGGAUGACCCGCCACACGGGGACUGAGACCCGGUCCAGACCUCUACGGGAGGCCGCAGGGGGGAAUAUUGCAAAAUGGGCGGAAGGCUGGUGCAGGCAUGCCGCGGGUAUGGAAAAGGCCUUCGGGUUGUAAAGGACUUUCAGCGGGGAGGCGUUACCCGCAGAAGAAGCACCGGCUAACUCCGUGCCAGCAGCCGCGGUAAUUC